GGAGCGAACGCUGGCGGCAGGCCUAACACAUGCAAGUCGAACGGACCCUUCGGGGGUUAGUGGCGGACGGGUGAGUAACACGUGGGAACGUGCCUUUUGGUUCGGAAUAGCUCCUGGAAACGGGUGGUAAUGCCGAAUGUGCCCUUCGGGGGAAAGAUUUAUCGCCAUUAGAGCGGCCCGCGUCUGAUUAGCUAGUUGGUGAGGUAAUGGCUCACCAAGGCGACGAUCAGUAGCUGGUCUGAGAGGAUGACCAGCCACAUUGGGACUGAGACACGGACCCAAACUCCCUAACGGGAGCAGCAGGUGGGGAAUCGUUGCGCAAGUGGGACGAAAGCCUGACCGCAGCCAGUGCCGUCGUGAAAUGAUAGGAAGGUUACGUUAGGUAAUUAGUUAAAUUU
rnacentral:rRNA from 1 species